AUAUUGUUCCAAUUUUAGUAUAUGUGCUGCCGAAGUGAUACAGAGAAGAUUAGCAUGGCCCCUGUCCAAGGAUGACAUGCAAAUUUGUGAAGUGUUCCAUACUUUU
ensembl:snRNA U6 U6 spliceosomal RNA